rnacentral:sRNA from 1 species
GUUGUGGGUGCAGUGGCGGCCACCCGUAGUCUGAGCUCCUGGGGAGGCUGAGGCAGGAGGAUCGCUUGAGCCCAGGAGUCUGAGGCCCUUGGACAACAUAGAGACCUGGUCUCAA